CUAAAAUUUUAAAAUCUUUAAAUCUCCAAAUUGUCAAACCGCAAAUCCCCAAAUCCCUAAAUCCCUAAAUCCUGUCAAAGAAGUCAGCAUUAACAGAAAGAAAUCGUAAUGUACAUCAAGUGAAGAGAUCUUUGCGAAUGAAGGAAUGAAAAUCGCGCAAAUUCCUGCACGAUGAAUAUAUCUAUAAAAAAUAAGCAGCAACGAUGCAGUGCGGCUCUCCGUGACAUCUUAAUUCGUUGAAAUUGAGACUGCGGCUAAAGAUGACCGUCUCGGAUGAAAGUUUAUGCGCGUCUGACUUGCCGCGGAGCAGAAGAAGAAAAUUCAUUGACCUUAUUACUUAAAUGGCGGCCACUCGUAGCGGCUGCAAUCAAAGGAUCCGUUGGUCGAUCACGUUUAAUGUUGCCGGAGCACUUUGAACUGGAAAAUGUGCUUUCAAUAGUUCCUUCAAUUAUCGAUUACGCUUUCCCAUUAAACUCCGCGAAAACUGUACCGUUCUUUACGCUCCGAUGACUAGAUAUUUUAUACGAAAAUUAGAUUCGAUUAUUCAUUUGCAGGUGACGUUUUGAAAUUUAUAAAUGUCAGACGGGAUGAAGGUUUUUAUACAGUUUGAGAGGAAAAUGUGACGUAGCGAAAUAUUUCGAUGCAAAUAAAAAUUUGCUGUUCGAGCCGAAGCUACGACCUCAGCAAUUCUGAAAUGCUAAAACAACGUUGAAACUGCAAGCAAAGCGGGAUAAUCCAUCGAGCCGAAAUCAAGCCGAACCAACAACGUUCCUUCCGAACGAUUCCCGUUCGGCUAGAAACGAAUCAUCGACAAGGAAACAACGCGUAACCAGCGAAAAAUAACUCCGGUGUAUCUCCUACGACCACCGUCAAAGGUUUACGGUACUGCACUGCUUUAUUUGGGAGCCACUGAUUUACAAGGACAUCCCGUGGAGAAGAAGCUAUUCCAGUUAUUGGUGUAAUCGGAUUGCUCCCUGUCGAGUGUCACUGAUAGAACACUAAGGAGGCAAUGACAAUAUCUAUAUUAAGGAUGAAGUUUGAGUGAUCGUUGGAUGAUUGACGAGUUACACGAUGCUCGCGAAUGUCUAAAUUCCGUGGAAAUCUAUUAAUAACGCCGGUUUCACGCAUUAAAUCACGAUCCGUGGCAGUGAAUCGCACAUUCUUGCGUGCAUCGACGGAACAUUCGUUGACCUCGAGCUGAAGUAUCGAGGCAGACCUAAUUUGUGCUCUUCGAAUAAUUAAAUCAAGUUGAAAUUUAAUUUUACCAGCGCCAUUCAAUCUGCGGUUAAUUCACCGCUGCGCCAGGAAAGACGACUACUUAAUGCGGUAUCCAUUUUGUAUCGUGCCUCGUAACUCUUCUGGCUUCGUUAAAAAACUCUUUUCGUUUCACUUUUGAUAGACAACUUUUACCUAUAAAAUUCUCUUUGAUUACAAUUCAAUUUUUUAUGAUAUACUUUCCUCUCGUACUUUUUGUAUUUAUGUGCAGACAUAAUUUUAACGAUAUUUGGACUUAGGUGGUUGAAGAAUAUUUUAGGUCUUUUAGGGACUUAUAGGAAUUAUUGGUUAGGUGGAGAUUUUUAGGGUUUUGGGACUUGUGGAGUUUUAGGACUUUUAGGGAGUUAUAGGGAUUGUUGGUUAGGUGGAGAUUUUUAGGAUUUUUGGGACUUCUGGAGUUUUAGGACUUUUAGAGACUUUUAAGGAUUACUGGUUAGUUGGAGAUUUUUAGGAUUUCUGGGACUUCUGGAGUUUUAGAACUUUUAGGGACUUUUAAGGAUUAUUGAUUAGCUGGAGAUUUUUAGGACUUUUGAAGUUUUAAGAUUUUUAGGGAUUUAGGUCUGCAGGACUUUUGGAUUAUGGGACUAUAGGGACUUUGGAUUAUAGGACUUUUGAACUAUGGAACUUUGGGGAUUUUGUACUGCAGAACUUUGAAAUUAUAUUACUUCUGGAAUUUUUGAGUUAUGGUACUCCUGGAGUUUUUAAAUUUUUGGACUUCAAUAAGUUUCUCUACUUGAUUUAUAUUUUAAGCAAACAUUGUAACAAUGGAAUUUAAUAGAACAUUGUAUACUGUCAUACAUCACUAUCUUAAAUUAGAGCUUUUGUUACCCACUGCUCAUCGCUUCUGAAUCACAGCUUGAUACUAUUUCUUCCAGAGUGAAACUCCUGCCCAAAUUUUGAGACUAAAGUCUAGGUAACUAUCUAAUUGAAUCGACUUCCUCCAUAGGUAGUAAUGUACCUAUUAGUUAAUGUACUUUUGAAGAACUAAAAAAUGCAGUUUAAGUUGGCUCGACGUGAAAGGUAAAGUUUAUACGAAUCGAUUUCUCGUUUAUACGGUGCGAACGCGUUGUUGCGCAACACACGACAAUGGCCUGAUUGUAAAUAGCAAUCGUAGCAACUGAUAAAUUAUGUUGAUUCGAGCAAAAGCCAUUUUGCUUCCUCGGUUCGAUUCGACGUGUAUUUUCGUACCUUAUCGUUGCUUUACAUCGACGAGCAUAAAGUCAUGUUUCCCUUGUUAAUAAUCUCAAACGAUACGGUUGUUUUCGAAGGAGAAUAGGAUAUUCUUAGAAGUGAUCGCAUCUGUUGUUUCUAUUCGCUGAAAUUGUUUUAGAUACUGAAAUAGUCGAGAAAAUUGUAUGACCGGCAAUAAUCGUAUCGUGUAUCUCGUUCCUUUUAUAAGAGACUGCAACUUCACAUUUUACAUUUCUUUAUCAGAAUUUAACUACUUAUAACUAUUUCCAAUUUUUGUGUAUCUACUUAUAAUACUCGCAAUAUUUUUUAAGUGUUAACAAAAUAUUACAAGCAACGCUAUUGUCAUUUCAUAAACUAUUAUAAUACAAAUUAAUUAAUAAGACAUUGUAUCAAAAGAAACAUACAUUUGUACAACAAGAAUUAAGUUAAAAAUUUGCAACAAAAUUUUUGUAUAUAGGACUUCAUUUUCAAGAAUAUUGAAUUGGAAAGUUCGUCACAAUAUUUGUUUAUAACAACAAGAAUAUUAAAAAUACAAGAAAGCGUUACAAUUAUAAUUAUUGUAAAAUAUGUGAACAAAAAGUUUAGUUUAAAGUGCAGUGCGUUGCACGGUCCAAUUUAAGCGCAAUAAACAUUUUAAAAGGGUUCAAGUUUCCGUCUCAUAUUAAACGUCCGUUUUUAGGCUGUAGGUCGAAUUCAUCCGUCACGGCUCUGAGACUUCCGUUCUUUGUUUGGUGCCUCUAUUUCAGCACAUCCUCAAGUACAACAUGACGUAAAGAAGACCGUAGUUAUCCCCUAAUAGCAUGUGAACAGGCUCCUAACCUUACCUCAGAAUUACACUACUUCCGUUGUUUCUAUAUUUACUAUGAUUCAAAUUUCUAAAUUUAGUCAUUCUCAAACCCCAAAUUCUAGAUUUCCACAUUCUCACAUUUUAAUCCCCUAAAUUAGCAAUUUCCUAAAUUUCUAAUUCCCUAAAUACCCAAGUCCCAGAAUCCUUAAGUCCCUAAACCCCAAGUCACAAAGUUGCAAAGUCCCAGUACUAAAAAUUAAUCCCAAACUAUUAAAGAAAAGGAACCUCCAAGAUUGCAAUCAAACUCGCUAAUUUUCAAGCAUGAAUUGACUACUCAAGAUAAAUGGCACUCCUAGACUCACAUAUUUCAUCGAUACAAAAGCACAUGCAUCUACCUGCUUGAUUUUCAACGAUGACAGUUUCUGCAAUUACAAUCACAAUGGUUAAUCAAUUCUCCGACCAUCCAGCAAUAAUCUACCAUCAUGUGUAAACGUCAAUUCAGGCAGUACAAUUUCGUCGAAUAAAUACGUUUCGGAAACGUUAAAUUCACACUUCCUGUAUAAAGAGUCGAUCGAACAAGGUUAAUAGUCGGCUUCCUGCGUUGAUCGCGUAAUUAUGAUAGAAACCUUGACGAAGUAAUACAUUGUAUUCCGUUUGUUGCAUCUACAGCUGCUAAUUAACAAUUAAUUGACAUUCAUGAAGCUAAGACAGAAAAAUUCAAGUAUGUUACGAAUAUGAGCCCCUUUGACAGGUUCUUGGACGAGCAGAUGCUCAAUUUAUUGGCCUCUUUGCACACUUUGAACAUCUGAACCCUCUCAAUGAGCCAAGGUCUUCUUUGAUCCUAAUAUUAAUCUUAGACUACCUUGUCUGCUCACGUAUUGUAUUAAAUACUAAAUAUUUUCCCGUAUUCGAAAAUUGAAUUUAUUUCGAAAUACCU